rnacentral:rRNA from 1 species
UACAGAGGCCACGAGCGUUAAUCGGAAUCACUGGGCUUAAAGGGUGCGUAGGCGGGCCCGCAAGCACUUUGUGAAAUCCCUCGGCUCAACCGGGGAAUUGCAGGGUGGACUGCGGGUCUUGAGGCAGGUAGAGGCGGACGGAACUAUCGGUGGAGCGGUGAAAUGCGCAGAGAUCGAUAGGAACGCCCGUGGUGAAGACGGUCCGCUGGGCCUGACCUGACGCUGAGGCACGAAAGCGUGGGGAGCAAAC